UGUGAUUGUGAUGAUCGAAUCACCUGAAUGAUGAUUUUCUGAAGCAUUACUUUUGUCUGAUUUGUGGCAACAGUUUAUUGUAAAGCAAAGACGCUACAAUACUACAGAGAAAACCUCAACAAUCAGGUGACCUCCUCAGAGUAAACACCUGCUCAGUGUGACAGUAAAAACUCCCUUUUAACAGGAAGAAACCUCUGUGACUCAGGGAGGGGCGGCCAUCUAUUGUAACCGGCUGGGGGUGAGGGGAGGAAGUACGUGGUGUUUGAUCCAUUUUGCGCAGAAGAGUCACAUGAGAUCGGCUCCGUUGAAAACAUCAAACUGAAGAAAGGACGAGGAAAGAAAGACAAACAAGAUUUUAAACUUGAAGACGACACCGGUUCAAUCAGGAUCACCUUGUGGGGUGAAGACAUCAAGCAUCUCAGAGAAGUAUCAUGUGGAGACGUUGCCAGGGUGACCAACGUAAAGACCAGUCGCUUCCAGGAUUCAGUAUCGCUGAACUCAACAGAUUCCACCAAAAUUUCAAAGGUUCAGAGUGCUGCAGUCCAGAGCGUCACCAUCAAGAUUAUCGGGAUCAUAAAAGCCAGCGGGACGCAGACUGAGCUGGAGGCGGAGCUCGGCCAUAACAACGAGAUGCAACCGUUUGUGGUGGCUUCAUACCUGCUGGCAGGAGCGUUGGGUGUCAGCCUGGGGGGCAGCUUUGAGGACAGGCUGCUGGAUAAAAUGCCGUUCUCAGCAGAUGUAGAAAUCAAAGGAAACCAGAUCAUCAAAAUUAAAUCCAUCAGAUAGAAGUAAAGAUGGCGUCCACUCUUCAGGCUGGGCUGUAGCCACAUGAUUCAUCUAUUUUUACUAAAGUUGUUUUUUUAAACUGAACAUUUUUAAUAUGAUUCCUUAAAUCUGUCAUUUAACGUAGAGGACAUUUCUGUUAUAUGAUGUCAGUUAUUCUCUCCUUCUGUGUUUCUUGCAAAUGAGUUUUUUCUGUUUUUAUUCUGAUUUGAGCAGAAUAUUCAUAAUCAUCAUCAGUCCUGGAAGCUCAGGGAUUCCCGUGACUACACCACCUGGUGCUGGGAACGUAUCCAUUGGAAUAAAAAGUCAAAUCUGGAACUUAAGAAUAAAAAUAAUAAUCCAUCCCUGAAAAAAAAGAUUAAGCUUCUGGAUUCAUCGCCGGUGGUACUGACACAUAGCCAGUGCUCCUGUGUGGCAGGUGCUGUUAUGUGCAAUCACACAGUGGCACUGCUCUUCCAAACAGCACACUACUCACAACUCAGAGUGCCGGUUGUCCCCCUGUGCAUAGCUGCACCGAAUCUGAACAGCAAUGGCACAAGCCACGGACAGUGGGUGUGAAGCCAGGACCCAUCAACUCCAUGAUCUUCACUAAGCCGGUACCAAAUAGGAUGGCCCAGACUGGAGUACGGAGUGGUUUCUACAGAGGCAUGGUGGCUCCGUUACCAGAUCCCUGCUUGUUCAGAAGGAGGCAUAUGCAAAAUUUAAUAUUGAGGACAGGCCACUUGUGACCACAAUGAACAUGAGACCUGACAAGCCCCUUGUGGAAAGUGCCUUUGGGCUGGUGCAGGAGGGCAGUGUUCUGUCAUGUCAGCAGCCGGUUUUGACAACCCGGUACAUCACACUACACCGUGAUGCACCACCAACACCGCACUUGCCUCUGGAGGGGUAUGACAUCUUGCCAUCAGAUUGUGUGUUUGUGUGCUCAGAAGAAGAGCUUCUGCAUCUGAAAAGCUUGUCUGUAACUCUGGAAAUGGCUCACAAAAUAGAGGAAGCUACACGUGAGCAAAGCUCUUCGUCUGAGUGGCAUCAGCUCCGCAGGUCCAGAGUGACUGCCUCUAAGUUUCGGGAGGUGUGUCAGGUCAGAGGCCAGAGCUCGGCAGAGUCACUAGCAGAGCGUAUAUUGAAGGGAACAAGGCAGACAGCAGACAUGAGGAGAGGAACUGAGAUGGAGUAUAGUAGGCUAAUGAAUGUUAACUACUCACCCUGUGGUCUGGUCAUUCACCCCAUUGCUCCCUGGCUUGCUGCAUCUCCUGAUGGUGUUGUUUUUGACCCUAA